UCUGCUUCUAGCUGGCUUUCCUUUCUGCUUUAGGUCUCCAUUAGCAGAAGGUGCCUUCAGAGGGUCACACUUUCUACACAUGGUCUUCCAGGAGGCCCGCCUUUGGGAGGCCCUGGAAGGAGGCAGUCCCAAGCAUCAGAGAGAAGAGAAUUGUUUUAUACUACUUUAUCUGAACUCAUUGUGUAUGAAGAUAUGGACAACUAUUUCAAAGAAAACAAGAGAAAUUAUGAAGAAGAGAGAGAGACAGACACACAGGAAGACAUAUGAAGGCACAGUGGGAAGGCAGUCACGGGAUGCAGAGGUGGAGGUCCGAGUUCUGUUGGGACAAGCCUGGAAACUCCUGGGCCCAGCAAGAGACAGAAGACAGAGAAGCUCGGCCUUGCUGCUGUCAUGAUUUCAGAGCUUUUGCCUCAAAGAAUGAGAGAGAGGUGCAAGAGAUCUGCUCACACUGAGACUCAAAGAAUCUAGUUGAGAACCCAUGGCAAUGUCCUGCAUGAGUCCAGCUGGAGGUCUAGAGCCCACGACAAUGUCUUAUGCAAGUCCACAUCAAGAUUUGCACUGGGAAGGCCAAAGGUGGAAGCUAGAAAGUCUUUACUAGAAGGAUGAAGGGUCUCUGCCAGCAGGCUGAGGAUCUGCAUUGGAGCCAGGAAAUGACACUCAAAGUAAGGACUAGAGCUUCCCAGAAGAGAACUGCACCCAUCCUCAGCAACAGCGAAGACCUGAGCUCCUCCAAUAAUGAGAACAGCUGAGAUCAUAUCAAGAAAACCUGCAUGACAAGCUUCUCCAGCAACAGCAUGCUGUCUUCCCUUCUGGCUCUUCUUAUACACUGUUGGCAGCAAUCCUCAAGUGGGCCUUCCAUGCCCAAAACCACACUAACUCAGUUUAGCUGGAUGUUCCAAGCCGAUCAUUAGUUAAUCCACCACAGGCACUGUGCUUUCCCUUCCCUGGAAAUAAAUGGUCAGUUUUCACCCAGAGUGGAGGAAAAGCAGGUUCCUAGCAGUGUGCUGUCAGGGUGUAGGGGGGUCCAGGCACUUAGCAGAUAUCAUCCAAUAUUCAUUAAUUUAUAUGCUCUCUCACCCCAGCUUUGCUCUGAGCACCAAUAACCUGAUGCUAUACUUUGCUUAAUUUUUCUGAGUAUUCUCUUGGAUAAAUAGUUGAUGCAUGGACUUUGCUGCUACUGAUUAGGAAUUCAGCUGAGUAAGGCUGCCUAGUCUGUUGCCUCUCAUUCAUAAGCUCUAUAGCUCCCCAAGUUCUGUUGUUUUUGCCUCUUUUACAUCCCCUGUGGAUUUAUGUCUUAACAAUUCCACCACAUUGGUCAUAGGGAGGCUUGUUGAGGGACUGAGAUCAACUGCACAGGUCCCUGUGAUCUCUGCAUUUGGGAGGUUGUGAUAUUUUCAGCCUUGUCUGGAGUGCUGUUUUGGAAGUAAAGAUAAGUAUAUCUCAAGUCCAUUUAAGAAUCCUCUUUCCAGCAUUACUUGUCCAAAAUGGUAUUUUGGACCAAACACGUACUAUUCAGCAAAACUCAUAAUAUGUAUAUAUAUUUAUAUUAUAUAUAAUAUAUGUGUACACAUAUUACUUUACGACAGAAGGAACCACGUUUCUAUGAGAUGCCUUUCUCAAGGACCUUACCGUGCCUUUCCAUCUACUUGC